AUUGAACGCUGGCGGCAUGCCUUACACAUGCAAGUCGAACGGUAACAGGUCUUCUGCUGCUGACGAGUGGCGAACGGGUGAGUAAUACAUCGGAACGUGCCCAGACUUGGGGGAUAACGAGGCGAAAGCUUUUCUAAUACCGCAUACGAACUAAGGAUGAAAGCAGGGGACCGCAAGGCCUUGUGCGUUUGGAGCGGCCGAUGGCAGAUUAGGUAGUUGGUGGGAUAAAAGCUUACCAAGCCGACGAUCUGUAGCUGGUCUGAGAGGACGACCAGCCACACUGGGACGGGGACACGGCCCAGACUCCUACGGGAGGCAGCAGGGGGGAAUUUUGGACAAGGGGCGAAAGCCUGAUCCAGCAAGGCCGCGUGCAGGAGGAAGGACUUCGGGUUGUAAACUGCUUUUGUACGGAACGAAAAGGCUCUGGCUAAUACCUGGGGCACAUGACGGUACCGUAAGAAUAAGCACCGGCUAACUACGGGC
rnacentral:rRNA from 1 species